rnacentral:lncRNA from 1 species
CGCUGAGGUCCCUUUUUUCCCUGCCAGCCAUCCCACCCAAGGAAGCAGAGCAGGGAGAUGCUUCACACUGUGUUUGUGCAACCUCCAGCUCUUGCUCAGGAGAGGAAAACGCCUACACCUGUGAGCAGACAGUGAGGAGAAUGGGUCUGACCUGCUCCAUCUGCACAAGCUGUUUUCCCAGAGCUGCCUCAGGCUAUAGGAGCCCACAAGGAAGUGAAGGCUUUUCUGCAUCUUUUGUAAAAUCAUUAAUAGGACAAUCCAGAGGAGAAGUGGAAGAAAACCCAACUACCAUCACCUCCUAUCCCCAUCAAACCCUUGGAAAUGCUGUGGAAACAGGACCUGCAUGAAGACCUAUAGGGCAUAAGUACAUGAAGAAUUUGGGAGAGGUACCUGGAACAUGGGAAUCCAGAGAAAAGUACUUUGUUUACAGCACCAGAGUCUCCCAGAGCUGUGGAGAGUCCACAUGGCUGAAAGUUGGCAGCCAGGCUGCAGGGAUAUCAGCUGCCUGCCUGGUCCCUGAGCCCAUUCACAAAUUGGGCGAGGCUGGACAAGCCAUUUCACCCAGGAUGAAAAUCCUACCACAGCUGGGAUGUGCAAGGGUUGGACAAAACACUGCUUUGUGCUGUUUGGACAUUAUUCACUUGGAAUAAAAAUAUAUGUUUAAGAGGAGAUUUCCACCCUUUCUCAGGUGGCAUUAGCUAUGCUGUGGUGCUUACAGGAGGUGACAAUGGGAGAACAGGAUGUGUUGUGCUGUUGUCUAAAAGCAGAAAGGUAGGUG